AGCCUAAUAGCUAGCCCAACAAAACAAAAUCAACAACUCAUUAUUAAUAACCCCUAAGACACUUGAACAAAUAAAACAAACCAUUUUUUCCCCUAAGUAUAGGCGACAGAAA
rnacentral:rRNA from 1 species